GACAGAGGUGCCGAGCGUUAGGCGGAAUCACUGGGCUUAAAGCGUGUGUAGGCGGGCCGUUAAGUAUCUUGUGAAAUCCCCCGGCUCAACCGGGGAAUGGCUGGAUAUACUGGCGGUCUUGAGCAGUUCAGGGGCAGAUGGAACAGACGGUGGAGCGGUGAAAUGCGUAGAUAUCGGAAGGAACGCCGGUGGCGAAAGCGGUCUGCUGGACCUCUUCUGACGCUGAGGCGCGAAAGCCAGGGGAGCAAAGCGGG
rnacentral:rRNA from 1 species